GUGGGGAAUAUUGGACAAUGGGCGCAAGCCUGAUCCAGCCAUGCCGCGUGAGUGAUGAAGGCCCUAGGGUUGUAAAGCUCUUUCACCGAUGAAGAUAAUGACGGUAGUCGGAGAAGAAGCCCCGGCUAACUUCGUGCCAGCAGCCGCGGUAAUACGAAGGGGGCUAGCGUUGUUCGGAAUUACUGGGCGUAAAGCGCACGUAGGCGGAUAUUUAAGUCAGGGGUGAAAUCCCGGGGCUCAACCCCGGAACUGCCUUUGAUACUGGGUAUCUCGAGUAUGGAAGAGGUGAGUGGAAUUCCGAGUGUAGAGGUGAAAUUCGUAGAUAUUCGGAGGAACACCAGUGGCGAAGGCGGCUCACUGGUCCAUUACUGACGCUGAGGUGCGAAAGCGUGGGGAGCAAACAGGAUUAGAAACCCUUGUAGUCC
rnacentral:rRNA from 1 species